UUUUUGCGAAGCGCGUGAGGGAUGGUAGUGGAAAUCCUUUUUGUCUUUGCCGAAACGCGCUCGAGAACCUCAGCAUGACAAGACAAAAAGAUUGCAAUGGACAGCCCGACCCGAG
rnacentral:sRNA from 1 species